GUGCCAGCCGCCGCGGUAAUACGGAGGGUGCAAGCGUUAAUCGGAAUUACUGGGCGUAAAGCGUACGUAGGCGGUGUGUUAAGCAGGAUGUGAAAGCCCCGGGCUCAACAUGGGAAUGGCAUUUUGAACUGGCACACUAGAGUCCUAAAGAGGGUGGUAGAAUUUCCAGUGUAGCGGUGAAAUGCGUAGAUAUUGGAAGGAAUACCGGUGGCGAAGGCGGCCACCUGGUCAGAGACUGACGCUGAGGUACGAAAGCGUGGGUAGCAAACAGGAUUAGAAACCCGAGUAGUCC
rnacentral:rRNA from 1 species